rnacentral:rRNA from 1 species
AGAGUUUGAUCCUGGCUCAGAACGAACGCUGGCGGCAUGCCUAACACAUGCAAGUCGAACGAAGCCUUCGGGCUUAGUGGCGCACGGGUGCGUAACGCGUGGGAAUCUGCCCUUAGGUACGGAAUAACUCAGGGAAACUUGAGCUAAUACCGUAUAAUGACUCCGGUCCAAAGAUUUAUCGCCUAAGGAUGAGCCCGCGUAGGAUUAGCUUGUUGGUGAGGUAAAAGCUCACCAAGGCGACGAUCCUUAGCUGGUCUGAGAGGAUGAUCAGCCACACUGGGACUGAGACACGGCCCAGACUCCUACGGGAGGCAGCAGUGGGGAAUAUUGGACAAUGGGCGAAAGCCUGAUCCAGCAAUGCCGCGUGAGUGAUGAAGGCCUUAGGGUUGUAAAGCUCUUUUACCCGGGAUGAUAAUGACAGUACCGGGCAGAAUAAGCCCCGGCUAACUACGUGCCAGCAGCCGCGGUA